UUCACACGGGGCAACUUUUCCCAGCAACUCGAAGCAACUCAAACCAACGUCUUUUGAGCAAUUUCGAGUCCGCGUUCACACGCAGCAACUCUGUAGCUCCACCCACAAGCAACCUUAUGGCGACCGGACAAUGUGGGUUCGAAUCGAACUGGUGGAAUCUUUUCUUUAGCUGCUGUUUAUCAACUUUCAGUCAGUUUUAUUGCUCAAAUAGAUCAUUAUUGCCGUCCAGAAGUGGCAACUGAUAUGUUUCCGUGAAGUUCGUAAAAAAGAAAACGUUAUUUUUUAGCUGCACCUCCAGGAUUUGAACCUAUGAACCCACGAACGAAAUCCACAACGCCAUCGGGAGUCACGUGGCAAUGCUUCCCUCUCUGAUUGGCCGAUGCACGAGCAACUUCUCAAGUUUUCGGUCCGGGAGCGAUUCGCAGCAACUCGGAGCAACUCGAGUUGCUGGAGGUUGCCGGCUGACAGCAACUCCAAAGUUGCUCAUAGUUGCUGCAAAAAGUUGCCCCGUGUGAACGCUUGGGGGGUCCCAGCACGCACUAGGCGGGCGUCGAGCGAGACUGUGGUGGGAAAGUCCUCAGCCAAGAUGGCGGAUUGCCUCGAAGAAACGAGCGAUAAAAUUUAAUUUUUGUAUGUUUGGUACGUUAUACGACGUUGAUUUUUGUUUGAUUUCAUCCGUAAUUUUCUCAUCUUUCUGGUAAAAUCAUCUGUUAUUUGAUGUCUACUUCCGUUUGUUUAAAAAAGCCCGGCUACGGAACUCCGAGCAUUGCAAUGAACGCUGUUCAAAGAGCACGAAAGAACAUGUUGGCAUAUCCAAGCGCCUUCGCAAGAUGCUCUCAACAGGCAGUCUUGUAUGGGAAGUGUGCUAUUGCUAAGGAGGACAUAAAGAAAGGUGACUGCAUCAGAGAAUUCCUCAAGCUCAAAUUGUGCGUGGAGAAGAAUCUCAGGGAACAAAUGAAGCCAGCGUGACGCUGUAUUUGCUCAUAGUGUGUUUGGUGAAUGGAGCCGAAAAGAGUUCCACCACCCAAUCCAAUAAAUAGUGACUGGAUGCAGAAACAGUGUCUGUCGUGUGCACGGAGCAGAGAUGUGGAAAACACAAGAG